GCUCAUUUCUUUUCUUCUUCUCUCUAUACGUUGGUGUUCUAACCAAUAAUCACCGAUGCGAUGUUCUGUCCGAUCGAUUCAGGAACCAACUAACGGAUGCCAAAGUGCUAUACUUUGAGAGUUCGUUAAACGGAUGCCAAAGUGCUAUACUUUGUGAUUUCGGUAAACGGAAUCCAAAGUGUUACACUUUGUGAAAUUCGUUAAGGUUCGAAUCUCGUGACUACCGUUAAGGUUUGAUUUGGGUUUUACACAAAUACGUAUUCCAUUCUGUUAAACUAUAUGUUUAACUACCAAAAAUACUCCCAACUACACACUCACAAUCAAACAAACUAUUAAAUCAUCAGAAGAUCCAGAAUAAUAAAGUGCAUGCUUAAUUAUCGGAAGAAGUAGAAUCAAGAAGCUUGUUAACUCAAUCUUGGAUGCUUAUAAAGUUGCAUUUUAAAAACUUUGGAACGGUUGGAAUAGGAGAACCCAUGGGAAAUUCGAGUACUUAGCGGCGUUCUUUUUCUAGAAGUCUUAGCUUAUUUGCUUCCGCUGUGCAAUGAAGAUACCGGUCCAGUCACGCCAAGCUCUGAUAUUUCGGGGUGUGACACAUAUCAUGGAUAAACUCACUACAAAGGUCGGGGCUGCC
rnacentral:lncRNA from 1 species